rnacentral:rRNA from 1 species
CAGCAGCCACGGUAACACAGAGGGUGCGAGCGUUAAUCGGAUUUACUGGGCGUAAAGCGUGCGUAGGCGGCUUCUUAAGUCGGAUGUGAAAUCCCUGAGCUUAACUUAGGAAUUGCAUUCGAUACUGGGAAGCUAGAGUAUGGGAGAGGAUGGUAGAAUUCCAGGUGUAGCGGUGAAAUGCGUAGAGAUCUGGAGGAAUACCGAUGGCGAAGGCAGCCAUCUGGCCUAAUACUGACGCUGAGGUACGAAAGCAUGGGGAGCAAACAGGAUUAGAUACCCCUGUAGUCCCUGUCUCUUAUAC